GCCAUCGUAGCUCAGCUGGUAGAGCAACGCUCUCGUAAAGCGUAGGUCAGGGGUCCGAAUCCCCUUGAUGGCU
rnacentral:tRNA from 1 species